AUUGAACGCUGGCGGCAGGCCUAACACAUGCAAGUCGGACGGUAGCACAGAGGAGCUUGCUCCUCGGGUGACGAGUGGCGGACGGGUGAGUAAUGUCUGGGGAUCUGCCCGAUAGAGGGGGAUAACCACUGGAAACGGUGGCUAAUACCGCAUAACGUCGCAAGACCAAAGAGGGGGACCUUCGGGCCUCUCACUAUCGGAUGAACCCAGAUGGGAUUAGCUAGUAGGCGGGGUAACGGCCCACCUAGGCGACAAGCCCUAGCUGGUCUGCGAGGAUGACCAGCCACACUGGAACUGAGACACGGUCCAGACUCCUACGGGAGGCAGCAGUGGGGAAUAUUGCACAAUGGGCGCAAGCCUGAUGCAGCCAUGCCGCGUGUAUGAAGAAGGCCUUCGGGUUGUAAAGUACUUUCAGCGGGGAGGAAGGCGAUGUGGUUAAUAACCGCAUUGAUUGACGUUACCCGCAGAAGAAGCACCGGCUAACUCCGUGCCAGCCGCCGCCGUAA
rnacentral:rRNA from 1 species